UGGCGGACGGGUGAGUAAUGAAUCGCUAAUGUGCCCCGGACUCUGGGAUAGCUAACCGAAAGGUUAGGUAAUACCAGAUGAUAUGCAGCUAUCGCAUGAUAGUUGCCUCAAAGGUCCGCCGGUCUGGGAGCAGGCGAUUUCGUAUCAGCUAGUUGGUGAGGUAACGGCUCACCAAGGCGACGACGCGUAGCCGGACUGAGAGGUUGGCCGGCCACAUUGUGACUGAGACACUGCCCAGACUCCUACGGGGGGCUGCAGUAACGAAUCUUCCGCAAUGCACGAAAGUGUGACGGAGCGACGCCGCGUGUAGGAGAAGCCCUUCGGGGUGUAAACUACUGUCAGGGGUUAGAAAGUUCCGAUCAACCCCAGAGGAAGGCACGGCUAACUCUGUGCCAGCAGCCGCGGUAAU
rnacentral:rRNA from 1 species